AGCUUUGUGCAGUGGCAGUAUCGUAGCCAAUGAGGUUUAUCUGAGGCACGGUUAUUGCUAACUGAU
rnacentral:snRNA from 1 species